rnacentral:lncRNA from 1 species
CCACUGUACAGCAAGGGGGUCAGGUUAUCCUUAGAUGUAUACAUUGCAAUUACAGUUUUUUCCCCCACCCUUUCUUCUCCUAACCAAGGCUCAUGAGCAGAGCAGCAAACUCAGUCAUUCGUUGGAUUUAGUGCCUUAAGCCUCCUCUCCUGCCCCAUCCCUCUCCAGCGUUCCUUGCACCCCAGUCCCCAGACACGGACAAAUGAUAACCGUAGGAACAGCUGAAAAUUGUGAUGCCGACGAAUCUAUAUUGGAACAAAAUUCAGCAUCCCACAAAACUGCUUUUUGGUUGCAGGAGGCUGUUCUUGGGAGGUACACAGCAAGUCAUCCCGAAAUAUGGGGACAGUGAAUCAGUGGUAGGUACAUAAGAUGUCUGUGAUUACUGAUCUGCUAAAGUUCUUAAGGAUAGGACAGGAUGUGCCUCUGGACAAAGCAGGAAGAGCAAGGCCUGGAAAUCAAAUCAAGGCUUGACAAUGGAAAAAAAAAAAAGCCAACUGUAUUAACAUUAGCUGAAGCAAUAUUACAUAGAGAGAAAUGGUGAGAUGUGAGGAGCUGAGGAAAAGCAGUAAGAAGGAGCACAUCUUUGGGAGUUUACCUUGCCUCCCACCAGAGUAAUGGGAGCUCUGGAAACCCUUGAGCAUUACAGGCAGCUCAGAGCUUCCCUGAAUCCUCUCUUGAUAAGGAUCUUAAGGUUGGUCCAGGGAGCAAUGGGAAGGCAAAGAUUUGGUAAUUGAUUAGUCAUGUCUAUCGUGAGCACAGGGGUGGGCGAUUAGACCAGCCCCCCUGCCAUUCUGGACCCUUGCGCGCCCCUCAGAGGAUGGAAAUAUCUUAAGUCAUCUUGGCUAUUAAAAUCAUUCAUCUUGCUCACCUUGUUUUGAUUCCGUGAAUACCAACCUCCUAACUAGAUUUUGGCAACCCAUGUGACUUUCCUACAGGGGAAAGAAUGUGCUGACAGGCUGACAUAAAGUUCUCAGGCUGCUUCUCAGUGCUUGUCCCACUGUGAUUUAAUAUAUUUGUGGUCUGGCUUCCUCACCAGGCUGCUGUGAAUUUGGUUAGCCUGUCCCUUUCAGCCUGAUUAGCUCCACGUGCACAAAAGGAGCUCCAUCUCUGACCUGCAGAUGAGCCUUGCCAGUCUCCAGCUCCCCUGCCAUGCUGGCCCUGAGGGGUUCUUCUCUUGACAUUGCUAGCCGGCUACUCGGUCAUGUCAAUCACCCCAACCACAGCCAUCUACCCAGAGCCCAGAAUGAGCUGUGGGAGGCCUGUGAAAAGAGUGCUACAGCCACCAAAAUAACCUUAUAUGUUCUGCUGAAUAAAAAAGAAUAAGGAAGAGAGAUUGGGGGGAGAUGCCAAGAAUACGCAAUAGAAAACAAGCAGAAGGAGUUGGCAGUGUUUAAUCUAGAGCCAGGAAGAUCUGGGAGGCCCAACUGCUUCCCUGUCAUCAAAUAUCUGAAGGCCUGCAGUGAUGAAAAGGGGAUGGAUUUGUUCCCUGGGGCUCCAGAAGAAAGUAUGAGAACCAAGGGGUGACAGACACAGGGAGAUAGAUUUCGGCUAGAUAAAAAAGAGGAACUUUUAAAGGCAGUUUUCCUCUAAUAGCAAUAAUUCACUUGUCAUCUUCACUUUUUUCCUUUCUUCUUUCUUUGAUCAAAUUUGCGAGAAACGGGAGUUCCCGUCGUGGCCAGCGGAAACAAAUCGGACUAGGAGCCACGAAGUUGUGGGUUCAAGCCCUGGCCUCACUCAGUGGGUUAAGGAUCCGGUGUUGCUGUGAGCUGUGGUGUAGGUCUCAGACAAAGCUAGGGUCCCACGUUGUUAUGGCUGUGGCAUAGGCCAGCAGCUGUAGCUCCAACUCGACUCCUAGCCUAGGAACCUCCAUAUGCCGCAUGACUGGGUCACCAUGCUGUACAGUAGAAAAUUGGCAGAAAGCUGUAAACCAACUAUAACAGAAAAAAAAAAAUCAUUGUAUUAAAAAAAAAAAAGAAAAAAAUUUGAGAGAAGCAGUGUAAUCUUUCCAUGAGGAACACAAAUUGGAGUGGGAAUGCCUGGUUCAUUUUCUAGUUCUAUCACCUACUAGCUACAUUAACUUUGGCAAGUUACCUUACUUUCCUAUGUCUAUUUCCUCUGCUAAUAUUAGUACCUACGUACUUAACCCAUGUGAUUAUGGUGAGGAAUAACUAAAUUAUACUUGUAAAGUGUUUAGAAGAGCACCCAGCAAUAAGUGGUAGCAACUAUUAUUUUAAAUUACAAUUUCAUACCACCUAUACUAUUAUUUAAUAUUUUUCUUUAAAUAGACAUUAUUUAUAUAAAUUUAUUUAUUUUAAUUUUUUUUGGUCUUUUUAGGGCCGCACCUGCAGCAUAUGGAGGUUCCCAGGCUAGGGGUCUAAUUGGAGCUGUAGCUGGCGGCCUAAACCAGAGCCACAGCAAUGGUGGAUCCAAGCCACAUCUGCAACCUACACCACAACUCAUGGCAACGCCAGAUCCUUAACCCACUGAGCAAGGCCAGGGAUUGAACCUGCAACCUCAUGAUUCCUAGUCAGAUUCAUUAACCACUGAGCCAUGAGGGGAACUCCUUUAUAAAUCUAUUUUAAAGGAAACUUUCUAUUACUUUUGUAAACGCAAAGCCAGAAACACUUGCCCUGUAUAGAUAGAAACUGCACAACCAAACAUAAAACAAUGUUAUUAAAUUUUAGCUAGCUACUGUUGCCUGUUCCACGACCUAAUUUUGAGGACGGCUCUCUUUUCCAUAAGGAGACAAGCAAGUUACAAAAAACGGUCUGGUACUUCACUGAGACUUUUUUGGUUGACUGUAGUCAGAAGGAAGAGUCUGGCAAGUUCAAGGAAGUGAAACACCAGUGCAGCUGCAACUCCUGCUCUGGGGAGAGAGAGCAGGGAGGGCUGGGGAGGGAGACAGGGCAAGAUCAAAGGGAUGGUUUAAAAAGGAAAUACCUCUCCUAGAAUGUGACUUUGUGAUCUUUUGCACCAUGGAACCAUCUCACAGGGCACCCAGGGGGUAGGAUUAGCACACUUUCGAAAGCAAGGUCAGAGAUACUUUGUAGCCCACAGUACUCAUCAGCGCCCCCUGGAGGAUGCCCACAGACAGUCCCCCAGACACACCAGCUGCCUCUCACUUCCUACUUGAAGGUAUGUUCUGGCUGCAGGGUGUAUGCUCCAGGCUGCAUGCAGAAGUAGAGGGAUGCUGGGGUGCACCAUCUCUCCAAGCAUCCCCAGAGAGAUUAAGCUCUUUGCUCCAUGGUAACUCAUUCAUCAACACAUCCUUUACUUGGCCCUCCUCCCCUCCCCGGUCCACUUCACUCUCACCAGGCCCUCUGGGAUUACCUCCCAAAGAAGUUCCUGGCACUCUAACCCUUGUCUUAUGAUCUGCUUUGGGGAAACCCCAACUAUGGCACAGUUUAAACUUCUGACAGCGGAAUGAGUUGCCCAGUGAGUAAGUUCCAUUUUAUUGGAGCACUCAAGAUUUAGCUGAGAAUGUUCCAUGAAGAUUCAUGGAUCAGGUAAGAAUUCAACUGGAAGGACAUUUAGUAUCCUUCUGACACUUAGGUCUCAUGAUUCUAGAUCAAGAGUUGGCAAACUACAGCCCACAGCCCACAGCCACUCCACUGCCUGUUUUGAUACAGCCCGUGAACUAAGAAAAUAUAUAUUUUAAAUAUACAUAUAUAUAUAUAUAUACACACACACACACAUAUAUAUAUAAAGGAAAUACCUAAUAUAUAUAUUAGCUUUUUAGGGCCGCACCCGUGGCAUAUGGAGGUUCCCAGGCUCAGGGCUGAAUCAGAGCUGUAGCCGCCAGCCUACACACCACAGCCACAGCAAUGCCAGAUCUGAGCUGUGUCUGCAAACUACAGCACAGCUCAUGGCAACGCCGGAUCCUUAACCCACUGAGUGAGGCCAGGGAUCGAAUCUGCAACCUCAUGGUUCCUAGUCAGAUUCAUUUCUGCUGAGCCAAGAGGGAACUCCUACAAUUUUAAAUGGUUGGAAAAAAAAUCAAAACAAGAUUUAUGUGGCCCUCAGAUUUCAGUGUCCAUCAAUAAAGGUUUUUUUAUUGAUAAAGUUUUAUUGGAACAUGGCUAUACUCACUCAUUCCCAAAUCAUCAGUAAUAAUUUUAUUUUUAAAACAACAGAGCAUAAGAGUCUACUGUACAGAACAGGGAACUAUCCAAGCUCUUGGGAUAGAACAUGAUGGAAGAUAGUAUGAGAAAAAGAAUGUGUAUAGAUGUAUAAAUGGGUUACUUUGCUGUACAGUAGGAAUUGGCACAUUAUAAAUCAACUAUACUUUAAUAAAAAGAAAAUAAGCUAAAAGGGCAUGAGACCUUUUCUUGCCCACCCUCUGACCACUGUCUGAAAUGUUCUCAUCCAUGCUUGAUGGCUUCAUUCAGGAUGGAUUCAUUCCUCCUCAAACUAAAACAAAUAUCCAGCCCAGGACCAUGUCCUGAGUGAGAUCUUAGAUCAAAACUCAAAUGUCUGUUCAACAUUGGAUUAAGAGGAGGGUGAGGAGGUGGGUGUUGCUGCUUACUGGUGGUGCGACUUGGAACAGGGCAUUUAACCGCAUGGGGUAUCAAUUUCAUCACCUGUCAAAGGCGGAAAUGAUGCUGCCCAGCCUGCCAGGAUUACUGGACAAGAGAGCUGCCCACAAAAAAAAAAACACAGUGCCACCUGGCCCAGCCUCUCUCUCCAGCGUUAUCAUAUGACUGGACCUCUGCUUCCUCUGACCACCACACUCCCUGCACACUGGCUCUCCUUGAGCUCCUUGACUUUGCCAAGCUCUUGGCUACCUCUGGGCCUUUGCACAUGCUGCCUUUUUUUUUUGCCUGAAACACCUUUUUUCUCAUCCCCCCUCUCCACUGCCCCUUGGCUUGGCUGCUUCUCAGCCUUUCUGACCCCCAAUCCAAGACAGGCCCCUUCUGGAUGCUGCUCCAUCUUUAUGCUUGAUUUUCUCAUCCCACGUGUAGCAAUGUCUAAUUAUAGUCAAUUAAAAAAUAUUUUUUAUUAUUAUUAUUUUUUGCUUUUCAGGGCCACACCAGCAGCACAUGGAGGCUUCCAGGGUGGGGGUCAAGUCGGAGCUGAAGCUGCCAGCCUACACCACAGCCACAACAAUGUGGGAUCCGAGCUGCAUCUGUGACCUAUACACCACAGCCCAUGGCAAAGCUGGAUCUCCAACCCACCGAGCAAGGCCAGGGAUCGAACCCACAGCCCCAUGGUAGUCAGAUUCUUUUCUGCUUCGCCACAACAGGAACUCCCAAUUAUAGUUAAUUCUCAUCUUCGUAGUGGUUAUGUUCUAUAAAGUUGCCAUGAACACGGAAUUAGCAAAUACGGAACCUUUGCUCCUAAGGGAAGAACCUAAGGUUAGGUUUCUGUAAGCCUCUGGUCCCAUUUUCAUCAACAGAUUGAUAUGUAACCUUGUUUUAUGUGUGUUUCUGUUUCAAGACCCCUUAUUUAAAUAUGUACUGUUGAGUAAAUCAACUAUAAUUAAAAAACUUUUGUAAAAUAAAUAUAUGCCAUUGAUUCGUUCACAAUGAAUUCACAGCCAGUACCACUACAACCCAUGCCUGAACAAAGCGUAUCUAACAUGCAUUUUCUCUAUAAGGCACAUGGCAGCCUUCAUGUGCUUAAGGGUGCUAGACACUAUAUUCGGGGGUGAUUUUUAAACAGCAAAAUCACCAACACGAAGCACAAAAAUGCAAAACGAAACAAAACAAAAAACCAUGGCACUAAACAGACCACAAAAAGGACGCUUGUUUAUAGUUCUCGGAGCUGAAACAAGAAGGCAGAGUGACAUCUUGUUUUGAUCUCAGCUGGGAACAUGUGUGUUGGCAACUGAAAUUUUUGGCCACACUGUUCACAUCCAUGUAUGACCAUGAAAAGUGCUACAGAUACUGAUUUGGGGGUUACAAAUAAAUUUGAGUGAGUGGGAGAAUUGGUAAAUACACAAUCUGCAAAUAAUAAGAACCUACUGUACUUUCUUCUCAUUUCUCUCAUUUGCUAGUGUGUAAGUACACUGGGGGCUGGUUCACCUCUUACCACUUUAUCUCUAGCAUCUGGAAAAUUGCCUGGUACAUAGUAGGCCCUCAGUAAUCAGUACCGUUUAUGAACGCAUGAGUCAGUUCAGUGAAAGUGCUUUGGCAGAAAUGACAGCUAGUGUUUACGGAGGAGACACCAUAAGCUGCCCUGUGUGAAGUGCUUUUUCUAUGUUCCCUCCAUCAAUAAGGGAAACAGCAGAUUAUUG